AUUGAACGCUGGCGGCAGGCCUAACACAUGCAAGUCGAACGAGUGGCGGACGGGUGAGUAAUGUCUGGGAAACUGCCUGAUGGAGGGGGAUACCUACUGGAAACGGUAGCUAAUACCGCAUACCCUCAGAUGUGCCCAGAUGGGCUUAGCUAGUUGGUGGGGUAACGGCUCACCAAGGCGACGAACCCUAGCUGGUCUGAGAGGAUGACCAGCCACCCUGGAACUGGGACACGGUCCGUACUCCUAGGUGAGGAAGCAGUGGGGAAUAUUGCACAAUGGGCGAAAGCCUGAUGCAGCCAUGCGGCGUGUAUGACGAAGGCUUUGGGGUGGUAAAGUACUUUCAGCGGGGAGGCGUUACCCGCAGAAGAAGCACCGGCUAACUCCGUGCCAGCAGCCGCGGUAAUAC
rnacentral:rRNA from 1 species